GACGAACGCUGGCGGCGUGCUUAACACAUGCAAGUCGAACGGAAAGGCCCUGCUUGCUGGGUCCUCGCGUGGGGAACGGGUGAGUAAGACGUGGGUGAUGUGCCCUGCCCUUCGGGGUAAGCCUGGUACACUGGGUCUAAUCCCGGAUCGGAGCCAUUUUCAGUGUGAUGGUUGGAGAGUUUUUUGGGUGUAGGAUGAGCUCGCGGCCUAUCCGCUUGUUGGUGGGGUAAUGGCCUCCCAAGGCGGCGACGGGUAGCCGGCCAGUGAGGGUGGACGGCCACACUGAGACCGAGGGGCGGCACCGGCUGCGACGAGUGGAAGAAGUGGGGAAGAUUGCACAAUGGGCGCAAGGCGGAUGCAGCGGCGCCGCGUGGGGGAUGACGGUCUUCGGGUUGUAAACGCCUUUCGCGAGGGACGAAGCUUUUUGUGACGGUACCUAGAGAAGAAGCACCGGCUAACUACGUG
rnacentral:rRNA from 1 species